rnacentral:rRNA from 1 species
AGAUUGAACGCUGGCGGCAUGCCUUACACAUGCAAGUCGAACGGCAGCACGGGGGCAACCCUGGUGGCGAGUGGCGAACGGGUGAGUAAUACAUCGGAACGUGUCCUGUAGUGGGGGAUAGCCCGGCGAAAGCCGGAUUAAUACCGCAUACGAUCUACGGAAGAAAGCGGGGGAUCUUAGGACCUCGCGCUACAGGGGCGGCCGAUGGCAGAUUAGCUAGUUGGUGGGGUAAAGGCCUACCAAGGCGAUGAUCGGUA